UACGAUCACAUCACGCUGAAAUACCGGUUCCCGUAGUAUCACCGAAGUUAAGCAACGUUGAACCUGGUCCGUACCCAGAUGGGUGGCCGCUUGGGAAUACCAGAUGUU